rnacentral:rRNA from 1 species
GAUGAACGCUAGCUACAGGCUUAACACAUGCAAGUCGAGGGACGGGCGGACGGGGGAGUAACAGGUAUCCAAGAUGCACUUUACUCGGGGAGAGCCUUACGAAAGAAAGAUUAAUACCCGAUAUAAAGGAUGGGGAUGCGUUCCAGUAGGUGGAUGGUGAGGUAACGGCCCACCAAGCAUGCGAUGGAUAGGGGUUCUGAGAGGAAGGUCCCCCAGAUUGGAACUGAGACCCGGUCCAAACUCCUACGGGAGGCAGCAGUGACUAAUAUUGGGCAAUGGGCGCUAGCCUGACCCAGCCAAGUAGCGUGAAGGAUGAAUGCUUAUGGGUCGUCAACUUCUUUUAUAUAAGAAUCUGUAUUAUAUGAAUAAGGAUCGGCUAACUCCGUGCCAGCAGCCGCGGUAAUUC